AGAGUUUGAUCCUGGCUCAGGACGAACGCUGGCGGCGCGCCUAACACAUGCAAGUCGAACGAGCGAGAGAGAGCUUGCUUUCUCGAGCGAGUGGCGAACGGGUGAGUAACGCGUGAGGAACCUGCCUCAAAGAGGGGGACAACAGUUGGAAACGACUGCUAAUACCGCAUAAGCCCACGGCUCGGCAUCGAGCAGAGGGAAAAGGAGCAAUCCGCUUUGAGAUGGCCUCGCGUCCGAUUAGCUAGUUGGUGAGGUAACGGCCCACCAAGGCGACGAUCGGUAGCCGGACUGAGAGGUUGAACGGCCACAUUGGGACUGAGACACGGCCCAGACUCCUACGGGAGGCAGCAGUGGGGAAUAUUGCACAAUGGGGGAAACCCUGAUGCAGCGACGCCGCGUGGAGGAAGAAGGUCUUCGGAUUGUAAACUCCUGUUGUUGAGGAAGAUAAUGACGGUACUCAACAAGGAAGUGACGGCUAACUACGUGCCAGCAGCCGCGGUAAAACGUAGGUCACAAGCGUUGUCCGGAAUUACUGGGUGUAAAGGGAGCGCAGGCGGGAAGACAAGUUGGAAGUGAAAUCCAUGGGCUCAACCCAUGAACUGCUUUCAAAACUGUUUUUCUUGAGUAGUGCAGAGGUAGGCGGAAUUCCCGGUGUAGCGGUGGAAUGCGUAGAUAUCGGGAGGAACACCAGUGGCGAAGGCGGCCUACUGGGCACCAACUGACGCUGAGGCUCGAAAGUGUGGGUAGCAAACAGGAUUAGAUACCCUGGUAGUCCACACCGUAAACGAUGAUUACUAGGUGUUGGAGGAUUGACCCCUUCAGUGCCGCAGUUAACACAAUAAGUAAUCCACCUGGGGAGUACGACCGCAAGGUUGAAACUCAAAGGAAUUGACGGGGGCCC
rnacentral:rRNA from 2 species